rnacentral:rRNA from 1 species
GUGGAUUAGAUACCCUGGUAGUCCACGCCCUAAACGAUGUCAACUAGGUGUUGGGGAAGGAGACUUCUUUAGUACCGCAGCUAACGCGUGAAGUUGACCGCCUGGGGAGUACGGUCGCAAGAUUAAAACUCAAAGGAAUUGACGGGGACCCGCACAAGCGGUGGAUUAUGUGGAUUAAUUCGAUGCAACGCGAAAAACCUUACCUACCCUUGACAUGCCAGGAACUUUCCAGAGAUGGAUUGGUGCCCGAAAGGGAACCUGGACACAGGUGCUGCAUGGUCGUCGUCAGCU